UAACUGUCUCUUACGUAUAACCAAUAAAACUGAUCUCUCAGUCAAAAAGCUGAGAUAAAAACAUAAGACGAGAAGACCCUGUGGAGCUUCAAACCAACCCAAGCCAAAUGGCUCGGUUUUUAGUUGGGGCGACUUCGGAGUACAAAAAAACCUCCGACAAACUAUAUAAAGACCUACACGUCAACAUAUAUCCGACCCGGUAUAAACAUCCGAUCAAUGAACCAAGUUACCCCAGGGAUAACAGCGCCAUCCCCUUCUAGAGUCCUUAUCGACAAGGGGGUUUACGACCUCGAUGUUGGAUCAGGACACCCAAAUAGUGCAGCCGCUAUUAAAGGUUCGUUUGUUCAACGAUUAAUAGUCCUACGUGAUCUGA
rnacentral:rRNA from 1 species